rnacentral:rRNA from 1 species
GACGGGGGUCCUAGCGUUGUUCGGAAUUAUUGGGCGUAAAGCCGUGUGCAGGUUGUUUGAAAAGUUGGGAUGUGAAAUCCUCGGGCUUAACCCGAGACUGAUGGCAUUCAAACUGCCAGACUUGAGUAUGGAAAGAGGAUCGUGGAAUUCCUAGUGUAGUGGUGGAAAGUACGGUAGAUAUUAGGAGGGAACACCGGUGGGACGAAGGCGGCGAUCUGGUCCAAUACUGACAACUCA